UACGUAGGGUGCGAGCGUUAAUCGGAAUUACUGGGCGUAAAGCGUGCGCAGGCGGUUUUGUAAGCCAGAUGUGAAAUCCCCGGGCUUAACCUGGGAAUGGCAUUUGGGACUGCAAGGCUGGAGUGCGGCAGAGGAGACUGGAAUUCCUGGUGUAGCAGUGAAAUGCGUAGAUAUCAGGAGGAAUACCGAUGGCGGAAGGCAGGUCUCUGGGCUGACACUGACGCUCAUGCACGAAAGCGUGGGGAGCAAACAGG
rnacentral:rRNA from 1 species